UACGUAGGGGGCAAGCGUUGUCCGGAUUUAUUGGGCGUAAAGGGCGCGUAGGCGGUUCGGCAAGUCUCUAGUGAAAUCUCUGGGCUCAACUCAGAGUCUGCUGGGGAAACUGCCGGGCUUGAGUGUGGGAGAGGUGAGUGGAAUUCCCGGUGUAGCGGUGAAAUGCGUAGAUAUCAGGAAGAACACCCGUGGCGAAGGCGGCUCUCUGGAACGCAACUGACGCUGAGACGCGAAAGCGUGGGGAGCAAACAGG
rnacentral:rRNA from 1 species